rnacentral:rRNA from 1 species
AGUGAACGCUGGCGGUAGGCCUAACACAUGCAAGUCGAACGGCAGCACAGUAAGAGCUUGCUCUUACGGGUGGCGAGUGGCGGACGGGUGAGGAAUACAUCGGAAUCUACUUUUUCGUGGGGGAUAACGUAGGGAAACUUACGCUAAUACCGCAUACGACCUACGGGUGAAAGCAGGGGAUCUUCGGACCUUGCGCGAUUGAAUGAGCCGAUGUCGGAUUAGCUAGUUGGCGGGGUAAAGGCCCACCAAGGCGACGAUCCGUAGCUGGUCUGAGAGGAUGAUCAGCCACACUGGAACUGAGACACGGUCCAGACUCCUACGGGAGGCAGCAGUGGGGAAUAUUGGACAAUGGGCGCAAGCCUGAUCCAGCCAUACCGCGUGGGUGAAGAAGGCCCUCGGGUUGUAAAGCCCUUUUGUUGGGAAAGAAAAGCAGCAGGUUAAUACCCCGCUGUUCUGACGGUACCCAAGGAAUAAGCACCGGCUAACUUCGUG